UCCCGCCUGGAAAGCGACGAUGUAUUCGUGCCUCGGCCUCGAGAGGCGUAGCUAUUCGGCCGCGUGGCCGUGGAAAGAGCCCGAUUCCGACCCGAGAGGCCGCGGCAAGAGGCGGCCUCGAAGUCGGUGGAUCCUCCUGCUCGAAAGGCGGGGUGCUAAACCAUUCGCAGACGACCUAGUUGAAGAUCGGGGUGUCGUGAUCACUAGAGCAGUACAUCUCACUGCGAUUUGUUGAGAGUAAGCCUCAAGAUCUGUCGGUUUGU
rnacentral:ncRNA from 1 species